CCUACGGGUGGCAGCAGUGGGGAAUAUUGGACAAUGGGGGCAACCCUGAUCCAGCCAUGCCGCGUGUGUGAAGAAGGCCCUCGGGUUGUAAAGCACUUUCAGUGAGGAAGAACGCCUGGUGGUUAAUACCCAUCAGGAAAGACAUCACUCACAGAAGAAGCACCGGCUAACUCCGUGCCAGCAGCCGCGGUAAUACGGAGGGUGCGAGCGUUAAUCGGAAUUACUGGGCGUAAAGCGCGCGUAGGGGGCUUGAUAAGCCGGUUGGGAAAGCCCCGGGCUCAACCUGUGAACGGCAUCCGGAACUGUCAAGCUCGAGUGCAGGAGAGGAAGGUAGAAUUCCCGGUGUAGCGGUGAAAUGCGUAGAGAUCGGGAGGAAUACCAGUGGCGAAGGCGGCCUUCUGGACUGACACUGACACUGAGGUGCGAAAGCGUGGGUAGCAAACAGGAUUAGAUACCCCAGUAGUC
rnacentral:rRNA from 1 species